rnacentral:rRNA from 1 species
UACGUAGGAGGCAAGCGUUGUCCGGAAUUACUGGGCGUAAAGCGCGUGUAGGUGGUGGGACAAGUCUGCUGUGAAAGCGCCUGGCUUAACCGGGCGAGGUCGGCGGAAACUGUCGCACUCGAGGACGGUAGAGGGGGGUGGAAUUCCCGGUGUAGUGGUGAAAUGCGUAGAGAUCGGGAGGAACACCAGUGGCGAAGGCGG